rnacentral:rRNA from 1 species
UACGGAGGAUGCAAGCGUUAUCCGGAUUUAUUGGGUUUAAAGGGUGCGUAGGCGGCCAGAUAAGUCAGGGGUGAAAUACUGCAGCUUAACUGUAGCAUUGCCUUUGAAACUGCCGUUCUUGAGUACAGUUGAGGUAGGCGGAAUGUGGUGUGUAGCGGUGAAAUGCAUAGAUAUACCACAGAACUCCGAUUGCGAAGGCAGCUUACUAAGCUGUUACUGACGCUGAGGCACGAAAGCGUGGGGAUCAAACAGG